GGAUAACAGUUGCCUUUACAAGAGAUGGGAUAUGGGAAGAAGAUAUCGUUAUAAUUUAAGAGAAAGUGAAAAUUAUUAAAAUUGCUUAUACUUGUGA